GAUGAACGCUAGCUACAGGCUUAACACAUGCAAGUCGCAGGGUAACAUGAGGAAAGCUUGCUUUCCUUGAUGACGACUGGCGCACGGGUGAGUAACGCGUAUCCAACCUUCCCAUAACUACGGGAUAACCCGUUGAAAGACGGCCUAAUACCGUAUGAUAUCGUUUGCUGACAUCAAAUAACGAUUAAAGGUUUAGCGGUUAUGGAUGGGGAUGCGUCUGAUUAGCUUGUUGGCGGGGUAACGGCCCACCAAGGCGACGAUCAGUAGGGGUUCUGAGAGGAAGGUCCCCCAAAUUGGAACGGGGACACGGUCCAAACUCCUGCGGGAGGAAGCAGGGGGGAAUAUGGGGAAAGGGGCGAGAGCCUGAACCAGCAAAGUAGCGUGAAGGACGCCGGCCUUAUGGGUUUGAAACUGUUUUUAGGGGGGGAUAAAGGGGGGGACGUGCCAUGCAUUGCGGGUACCAAAUAAAUAAGGACCGGCUAAUUCCGG
rnacentral:rRNA from 1 species